rnacentral:miRNA from 1 species
UUUAUACGUCGAAUUUUGGUCGCGUCGAAUGCAAUAAGACAAUAGAUAAUGAGAUUAUAAACCUCAUUAAGCUUCAUUAUCUAUUGUUUGAAUUACAUUCGACGCGACCAAAAUUCGACGUUUAAA